rnacentral:misc_RNA from 1 species
AAGUCGUAACAAGGUUUCCGUAGGUGAACCUGCGGAAGGAUCAUUACCAAAUCCAUCCAAUUACCGACCCACGUGUGAACCGACAAACAGUCUUUGGGAGCUGUGCUCUUUUGUACGGCUCCCGCAUUUAUUUUGAACCACGUUGUCUUUUGGCAGAGUAAAAACGGACCUUGCUUUUUUGUCUUUUUCGUCUUUUUGACGGAAAAAAUGAAGAAAAAAGGAACAAAAAACAACUCAAUCAAAAACAACUUUUAACGGUGGAUCUCUUGGCUCGU